AUGGUAGCUUGCUACCAGGCGUCGAGCGGCGGACGGGUGAGUAAUACUUAGGAAUCUACCUAGUAGUGGGGGAUAGCACGGGGAAACUCGUAUUAAUACCGCAUACGACCUACGGGAGAAAGGGGGCAGUUUACUGCUCUCGCUAUUAGAUGAGCCUAAGUCGGAUUAGCUAGAUGGUGGGGUAAAGGCCUACCAUGGCGACGAUCUGUAGCUGGUCUGAGAGGAUGAUCAGCCACACCGGGACUGAGACACGGCCCGGACUCCUACGGGAGGCAGCAGUGGGGAAUAUUGGACAAUGGGGGAAACCCUGAUCCAGCCAUGCCGCGUGUGUGAAGAAGGCCUUUUGGUUGUAAAGCACUUUAAGCAGUGAAGAAGACUCUUCGGUUAAUACCCGGAGACGAUGACAUUAGCUGCAGAAUAAGCACCGGCUAACUCUGUGCCAGCAGCCGCGGUAAUACAGAGGGUGCAAGCGUUAAUCGGAAUUACUGGGCGUAAAGCGAGCGUAGGUGGCUUGAUAAGUCAGAUGUGAAAUCCCCGGGCUUAACCUGGGAACUGCAUCUGAAACUGUUAGGCUAGAGUAGGUGAGAGGGAAGUAGAAUUUCAGGUGUAGCGGUGAAAUGCGUAGAGAUCUGAAGGAAUACCGAUGGCGAAGGCAGCUUCCUGGCAUCAUACUGACACUGAGGCUCGAAAGCGUGGGUAGCAAACAGGAUUAGAUACCCUGGUAGUCCACGCCGU
rnacentral:rRNA from 1 species